AGAACUGCUAUGGAUUACAGAUUCCACACAAAGGAACAACAACAUUUCUAUGAGACAAUCCUACUUGACAAGAAGCCCAUAGUGUGUGACAUGAGAUGGGUGGACUGGACCUACAUAAGAGAGAAUGAAGAGAACUUCCUAGGUGUCUAUGACAGCUUCAAGGCAUGUGAGGUUGACAAGUUUGUUGGCCAAAAGCUCACGAAGUGGAAUGAUGAGCUGAUUAUGCAAUUCUAUUCAACUGCUCAUUUCUAUCCAGAUGGAAAAAUUGUGUGGAUGUCAGAGGGUACAAGGUACCAAUCUACAGUUUAUGAGUGGGCUAGAUUGAUCAAUGCU
rnacentral:rRNA from 1 species